rnacentral:lncRNA from 1 species
GUUGCUUGCUGAUGGUGUUGGUGAGGCCACUCAGAUUUACUCUGAGUUAGUCCGUCUUGGAGCUGGUAUGAAAUUCAUUGAUAUUGGAGGUGGCCUUGGAAUUGACUAUGACGGUUCGAAAUCAUCCGAUUCGGAUGUCUCUGUUGCCUAUGGCAUUGAGGAAUAUGCCUCUGCUGUUGUCCAGGCUGUCCAAUUUGUCUGUGACCGUAAGGGCGUUAAGCAUCCAGUGAUUUGCAGCGAAAGUGGCAGGGCAAUUGUUUCUCACCAUUCAAUUAUGAUUUUUGAAGCUGUGUCUGCUUCUACUACUAAUGUUUCUCCACAGCUGUCUUCCGGUGGUCUUCAAUCACUGGCGGAAACUCUCAAUGAAGAUGCCCGUGCUGAUUACCGAAACCUAUCUGCUGCUGCUGUCCG